rnacentral:rRNA from 1 species
AUUGAACGCUGGCGGCAGGCUUAACACAUGCAAGUCGAGCGGAGAUGAGGUGCUUGCAUCUUAUCUUAGCGGCGGACGGGUGAGUAAUGCUUAGGAAUCUGCCUAUUAGUGGGGGACAACAUUCCGAAAGGAAUGCUAAUACCGCAUACGUCCUACGGGAGAAAGCAGGGGAUCUUCGGACCUUGCGCUAAUAGAUGAGCCUAAGUCGGAUUAGCUAGUUGGUGGGGUAAAGGCCUACCAAGGCGACGAUCUGUAGCGGGUCUGAGAGGAUGAUCCGCCACACUGGGACGGAGACACGGCCCAGACUCCUACGGGAGGCAGCAGUGGGGAAUAUUGGACAAUGGGGGGAACCCUGAUCCAGCCAUGCCGCGUGUGUGAAGAAGGCCUUAUGGUUGUAAAGCACUUUAAGCGAGGAGGAGGCUACUGAGACUAAUACUCUUGGAUAGUGGACGUUACUCGCAGAAUAAGCACCGGCUAACUCUGUGCCAGCCGCCGCCGUAAGAC